GAACUUAAGCAUAUCAAUAAGCGGAGGAAAAGAAACCAACAGGGAUUGCCUCAGUAACGGCGAGUGAAGCGGCAACAGCUCAAAUUUGAAAUCUGACCCCUUCGGGGCCCGAGUUGUAAUUUGUAGAGGACGCUUCGGGUGCGGCGCCGGUCUAAGUUCCUUGGAACAGGACGUCAUAGAGGGUGAGAAUCCCGUAUGCGACCGGCGGUCAACCUCAUGUGAAGCCCCUUCGACGAGUCGAGUUGUUUGGGAAUGCAGCUCAAAAUGGGUGGUAAAUUUCAUCUAAAGCUAAAUACCGGCCAGAGACCGAUAGCGCACAAGUAGAGUGAUCGAAAGAUGAAAAGCACUUUGGAAAGAGAGUCAAACAGUACGUGAAAUUGUUGAAAGGGAAGCGCUUGCAACCAGACCUGCCCGCGGGCGAUCAGCCGUUAUUCUUAGCGGUGCACUCGUCCGCGAUCAGGCCAGCAUCGGUUCGGGCGGCCGGAUAAAGGCUUCGGGAAUGUAGCUCCCCCCGGGGAGUCUUAUAGCCCGGGGUGCAAUGCGGCCAGCCCGGACCGAGGACCGCGCUUCGGCUAGGAUGCUGGCGUAAUGGUUGUAAGCGACCCGUCUUGAAACACGGACC
rnacentral:rRNA from 1 species